rnacentral:rRNA from 1 species
GGGAACGUUAACGGCGUCGAGCGGCGGACGGGUGAGUAAUGCCUAGGAAAUUGCCCUGAUGUGGGGGAUAACCAUUGGAAACGAUGGCUAAUACCGCAUGAUGCCUACGGGCCAAAGAGGGGGACCUUCGGGCCUCUCGCGUCAGGAUAUGCCUAGGUGGGAUUAGCUAGUUGGUGAGGUAAGGGCUCACCAAGGCGACGAUCCCUAGCUGGUCUGAGAGGAUGAUCACCCACACUGGAACUGAGACACGGUCCAGACUCCUACGGGAGGCAGCAGGGGGGAAUAUUGCACAAUGGGCGCAAGCCUGAUGCAGCCAUGCCGCGUGUGU